AAAACGUAAUAUAAAUUAAUAUAUUUCAUUUACACUGAAAAAAUACUUAGAUGUAAGUCGUUUU
rnacentral:tRNA from 1 species